UACGUAGGGUGCGAGCGUUGUCCGGAAUUACUGGGCGUAAAGAGCUCGUAGGUGGUUUGUCGCGUUGUUCGUGAAAACCGGGGGCUUAACCCUCGGCGUGCGGGCGAUACGGGCAGACUUGAGUACUGCAGGGGAGACUGGAAUUCCUGGUGUAGCGGUGGAAUGCGCAGAUAUCAGGAGGAACACCGGUGGCGAAGGCGGUGGUCUGGGCCGGAACUGACGCUGAGGAGCGAAAGCGUGGGGAGCGAACAGG
rnacentral:rRNA from 1 species